UGAAGCUGAGAGGUCAUUGCAUGGAGGGGUGUAAUCGGUUCGGUCUGGACCGGUUUUUGGUCAAUAAAAGGUCCGAACCGAUGAUAUCUUCAUUGGUUUGAUUUGGUUUUUAAUAUUUUUCAAAAAUGGAACCGAACUAAAUGGUUUGGUUCGGUUUGAUUUGGUUUGGUUGAUCGGUUUAUAGUAUUUAAAAAAAAUAAUUAUAUUCAUAGUAUAUUCUCCACUAUUGUAUUUUUUUAUCUAUUUUAUGCUAUUGUUUUUAAAAUAAUACAUUUCAUGAAAUUUGUUUCAUAAUCUAUUGUUUCAAACAAAUUACAAGUCCAUCUUAAUCAAUAUGAAACAGGGACAUGAUUUUCCUUGCAUCAUGAAAUAAGCUCAUUAUCAAAUAUAAGUUGACACUUGGUAUCAAAGUCAAAUAUACAAGUUGACAUUUACUAUCAAAAUCAAAUAUAAAAGUUGACACUUGACAACAAAAGGUAGGUUGGGAAGAGAUUUGAAAUCUUAACAAAUAGAAGGAAGUGUAAAUAAAAUGGAAAAUGGUUGGACCGAUAAAUAUUUUGGGUUUAAUGAUAAGUGGAACAAGAGAUUUAGAGCUUUAUGAUAUAUAUUGGUUCGGUUUUGCGAUUUUGCGGUUCUUAAAAAUUAAAAUCGAGAACCAAACCAAACCACAUCGAUUUUUAUUGAUUUGGUUUAGUUUUAAAAUUGAACCGGAAACAAUCAGUUUUAUUUUUGUUAGGUUUAGUUUGGAUUCGGUUUAAUUAAUUUUUUCUUAUCUGCUUACACCCCUAAUUUUAUGAUAGCGCACUCUUCUUGAUCAUUGUCACUAGAGAUCCACCCCUAAUUGUAUGAUAGCACACUCUUCUUGAUCAUUGUCACUUAGAGAUCCACCUUUCUCCAUUAUAAAACUCCAAUAAAGAAAAGACGAGUUUUGUUGAAUUUUUGGAUGUGAUUCGGAUCCAUGAUUGUUUUGGUGGUGGUGUUGCUUGAGCUCACUGACGUUGUUUGGUGAAUGUCAGUGACGGUGGUGAUUUCUUUGGUUGAGGUCAGUUAUUGGAAAUGGAAUGUAACCAGAAAAUAGUGGAUUGGACACUUAUUGUUUUUUAGCACCUGCCAAAAAGAGGAGUAAAGAAUAAAAUAGUGAAGUUGGCUAUAACAUAUAGAACAAUAAAUCGAAUUUGAAUCAGUUUUAUACUAUUUUACUAAAAUAAACAUGUUUAACUUGGAUGGCGGUCUUAAAAGUCAAGCUUUGUUUUUGGUUUAUUCAUUUAGGUUUUGGUUAACCACCCCAUCAACCUUGUCAUCUAGAUUUUAAGGAGUGUUUUUGGGGCUUAAUUGUGUAAUAUUAUCUAGAGAUGAAGAGCAGUGAGUUACCGAUGUUAAUUUGUGUGUUUUAGAAAGGUAUUUUCUAGACUGCUAUUUUAUCAUGCUUCAGUUCUCUCUUUUUUUGCUAAUAGAGUUUGACCUAUGUAUUUUUGGUAGGUUGGAGAGACGAAAGGGGGAUUUGUGAAGCAUUCAAAGUCAAGCAAGUUGUAUUGCUAUCUGCAACAAAGGCAAUUGAGAUGAUCCUUAGAGUUGAUGAAAUCAUAACUUGCGCUUCAAGGAAGAGAGAAGACAGAAUGUAGUGUCUGUUGUUUUGGUAGGUUGGAGAGACGAAAGGGGGAUUUGUGAAGCAUUCAAAGUCAAGCAAGUUGUAUUGCUAUCUGCAACAAAGGCAGUUGAGAUAUCUUAGAGUUGAUGAAAUCAUAACUUGCGCUUCAAGGAGAGAGAAGAACAGAAUGUAGUGUCUGUUGUUUUGGUAGGUUGGAGAGACGAAAGGGGGAUUUUGUGAAGCAUUCAAAGUCAAGCAAGUUGUAUUGCUAUCUGCAACAAAGGCAGUUGAGAUGAUCCUUAGAGUUGAUGAAAUCAUAACUUGCGCUUCAAGGAGGAGAGAAGACAGAAUGUAGUGUCUGUUGUUUGUUUGUUUUUUUAAAUGAUUUUUAUAGUGUUUCAUAAUUUUGUAUAAAAAAAAUAUAGUGUUACAUAAAAGUUUCAAAUAAAAAGUUGGUUUGAAUAGUUAUUCUUAAAAUGUUAUUUUAUAUAUUUUAUUAUUUUAUUGAAUUUUUUUAAUAUUAAAAUUUUAAAAAAAUUACUUAAUUUUGAAGUUAUUUCAAAUAGUUUUUCAUAAAAAUCAUUUUUGAAAUAUAACUUUUUAAAAAAUUGUGAUUUCGACUAUAUUUUGAUUUUCAAUCAUGUAUGUUUAUGUUAUAUAAUAUCAAAAUUAGUCUUUCAAUUCUAAAAAAAAAUAUAUAAAAAUUUGUAAUAUUUUACAAAAUGAUUUAUAAAAUCUAAUUUUUGAAAAUACAAAAAAAAAA
rnacentral:lncRNA from 1 species